rnacentral:rRNA from 1 species
AGAGUUUGAUCAUGGCUCAGAACGAACGCUGGCGGCGUGGAUUAGGCAUGCAAGUCGAACGAUCCCGCAAGGGAUAGUGGCGAAAGGGUGCGUAACACGUGGGCAAUCUGCCCCCGAAACGGGAAUAACUUCGGGAAACCGAAGCUAAUACCUGAUGACACCGAGCUGCCGCAUGGUGGCACGGUGAAAGGCGUCCGCAAGGGUGCCGAUCGGGGAUGAGCCCGCGGCCUAUCAGCUAGUUGGUGAGGUAACGGCCCACCAAGGCGAUGACGGGUAGCCGGCCUGAGAGGGUGGUCGGCCACAUUGGGACUGAGACACUGCCCAGACCCCUACGGGAGGCUGCAGUCGAGGAUCUUCCGCAAUGGGGGAAACCCUGACGGAGCGACGCCGCGUGGAGGAUGAAGGCCUUCGGGCCGUAAACUCCUGUCAGUCUGGAAGAAAAUCUGCAGCAAUGUGGAUUGACCGUACAGGCAGAGGAAGCUCCGGCUAACUCCGUGCCAGCAGCCGCGGUAAUACGGAGGGAGCGAGCGUUGUUCGGAAUCAUUGGGCGUAAAGGGCAUGUAGGCGGCUCUGUAAGUCGGGUGUGAAAUCCCAUCUCUCAAGGGUGGAACGGCAUUCGAAACUGCAGGGCUUGAGUUCGGGGGAAGAGAGCGGAAUUCUCGGUGUAGCGGUGAUAUGCGUAGAUAUCGAGAAGAACACCAGCGGCGUAAGCGGCUCUCUAUCCUGAAACUGACGCUGAGGUGCGAAAGCCAGGGGAGCGAACGGGAUUAGAUACCCCGGUAGUCCUGGCCAUAAACGAUGUGCACUUGGUGUUGGGCCGCGAGGCUCAGUACCGAAGCUAACGCAUUAAGUGCACCGCCUGGGGAGUACGACCGCAGGUUGAAACUCAAAGGAAUUGACGG